rnacentral:rRNA from 1 species
AAUAGAUACCCCGGUAGUCCACGCCGUAAACGGUGGGUACUAGGUGUGGGUUUCCUUCCUUGGGAUCCGUGCCGUAGCUAACGCAUUAAGUACCCCGCCUGGGGAGUACGGCCGCAAGGCUAAAACUCAAAGGAAUUGACGGGGGCCCGCACAAGCGGCGGAGCAUGUGGAUUAAUUCGAUGCAACGCGAAGAACCUUACCUGGGUUUGACAUGCACAGGACGCUGGUAGAGAUAUCAGUUCCCUUGUGGUCUGUGUGCAGGUGGUGCACGGCUGUCGUCAGCUCGUGUCGUGAGAUGUUGGGUUAAGUCCCGCAACGAGCGCAACCCUUGUCUUAUGUUGCCAGCACGUGAUGGUGGGGACUCGUGAGAGACUGCCGGGGUCAACUCGGAGGAAGGUGGGGAUGACGUCAAGUCAUCAUGCCCCUUAUGUCCCAGGGCUUCACACAUGCUACAAUGGCCGGUACAAAGGGCUGCGAUGCCGUGAGGUUAAGCGAAUCCUUUAAAGCCGGUCUCAGUUCGGAUCGGGGUCUGCAACUCCG